AAGAUCAUUAGCUUUGUUGUUUCCAGUUCAAUCAGAGAUAUUGCAAAAGAUUUGUGUACGCAGUUAUCUGGAAACAAGCGUCAUGAACUUGAUUGGUCCCCAGCGUUUGUUGAAAAUUUUAUUGUGUUUUAGUUGAUUGGGACAAAUUAAUUCGUCUUUCUGAAGAAGAAAAGCAGUUAUUUAAUUUCGGCACAGUCCCCCCCUAAUAUUUCAGUUGAUGAAUGAUCAGCAAUGAUUGAUUAGGCUAUGGUUAAAAAACCCCUUUUAAACAUUCAAAUUUCAGGAGGGACCGUGAACGAUGAAACGUAGGCGUGGCUGACGCGCUGUGCUCCAUUUGAGGGUAUAGGUAUAUACAUAUAUGAGCCAAAUUCAGUGAAAUCUAAAUGCUAUUUCUUAUGGAAAAUAGAAAUCUGGCUGCAUUUCUUAAGGGUUCAUAUUUUUCAAAGCUGUUGUAUCUGACUGCUUAUAGCUGUAGAGAAAACACAUAUGACUACCACUAUAUAAGGAAGAUGUUCAGCAAAUCUUCUAUACACGAACUAGCAGUUCAUGCAGUCUUCUAUAUGUUUUCGGUCUUUAGUGUGGAAAAUCAAUUUUCAUUUCCUUUGUGGAUAAUUACGAAUCGGUUAUCGAUUCUUCUGAAUGCGAAUGGAUCGCAUCUAACAUUAUGUCGGGAAACUCUAUAUAUAGUACUUCUGCUCUUGUUGCCGCUCUUCCUUAGUUGUUAUUAUUGCACUUUCUACGCUACCAACGUAUCAAUCUUCUCGCGAACGGUUGCCAUGAGGUCAUUGUUUUAGCUGAAACAGAAACAACUACAACUUUUCGAAGACGAAAGAACGGUCGAUUCAAAUUCACCAUCGUCCAUCCUAUAGCCACGGAAUGGAAACGGCAAUUUGGCAGGAAGGCUCAUAUCAAGAAGUGGUUGAGGUGAAAUUGAAGUCUCGGAAGAGUUAUUAGCAAAGAUAGAGAGAUUGGCGUAAAGAUGCGAUAAAUGGGAGUACUGUAGAAUUUUAAUAAUUUCGAUGGAGUUUAUGUGAAAAUUUUCCAGUAGAAACGUGUUUUUCCCAUCGGUAUUAGGAAUAAUGGCUUUAAAUUAUUGCAAUAAAUAUAUACUUAUAUCAGUGUAA